AAAGUGUUUUUAGAAAGAU
rnacentral:rRNA from 1 species